rnacentral:rRNA from 1 species
GCUACGGGAGGCAGCAGUGAGGAAUAUUGGUCAAUGGGCGCGAGCCUGAACCAGCCAAGUAGCGUGAAGGAUGACUGCCCUACGGGUUGUAAACUUCUUUUAUCAAGGAAUAAAGUGCGGCACGUGUGCCCUUUUGUAUGUACCUUAUGAAUAAGGAUCGGCUAACUCCGUGCCAGCAGCCGCGGUAAUACGGGGGAUCCGAGCGUUAUCCGGAUUUAUUGGGUUUAAAGGGAGCGUAGAUGGGUUGUUAAGUCAGUUGUGAAAGUUUGCGGCUCAACCGUAAAAUUGCAAUUGAUACUGGCAGUCUUGAGUACAGUUGAGGUAGGCGGAAUUCGUGGUGUAGCGGUGAAAUGCUUAGAUAUCACGAAGAACUCCGAUUGCGAAGGCAGCUUACUAAACUGCCACUGACGUUGAUGCUCGAAAGUGUGGGUAUCAAACAGGAUUAGAGACCCCAGUAGUC